GAAGGCCCUAGGGUUGUAAAGUCCCUUUCAGCGGGGAAGAUAACGAGACGGUACCCGCAGAAGAAGCCCCGGCUAACUCCGUGCCAGCAGCCGCGGUAAUACGGAGGGGGCUAGCGUUGUUCGGAAUCACUGGGCGUAAAGCGCGCGUAGGCGGAUCGGUUAGUUUGUGGGUUGAAAUCCCGAGGCUCAACCUCGGAACUGCCCUCAAUACUGUCGAUCUCGAGUCCGGGAGAGGUGAGUGGAAUUCCUAGUGUAGAGGUGUAAAUUCGUAGAUAUUAGGAAGAACACCAGUGGCGAAGGCGGCUCACUGGCCCUGGUACUGACUGCUGAGGUGCGAAAGCGUGGGGAGCAAACAGGAUUAGAUACCCGUGGUAGUCCACGCCUGUAAACGAUGGAAGCUAGCCGUCGGGCGGCAUGCCGUUCGGUGGCGCAGUUAACGCAUUAAGCUUCCCGCUCUGGGGAGUACGGUCGCAAGAUUAAUAACUCAAAGGAAUUGACGG
rnacentral:rRNA from 1 species